AGCCUUCCAGAUGUGCGAAAGCGACCGUCCCAGUCCGGGAAACCGGAGGAUAAUGUUUUGAACAGGUGAAAAUCCUGUACGUUGUAAAGCUGGACCUGGAAACGUUAGAAAAACAGC
rnacentral:ncRNA from 1 species